rnacentral:rRNA from 1 species
UACGAAGGGGGCUAGCGUUGCUCGGAAUCACUGGGCGUAAAGCGCACGUAGGCGGAUUGUUAAGUCAGGGGUGAAAUCCUGGAGCUCAACUCCAGAACUGCCUUUGAUACUGGCGAUCUCGAGUCCGGGAGAGGUGAGUGGAACUGCGAGUGUAGAGGUGAAAUUCGUAGAUAUUCGCAAGAACACCAGUGGCGAAGGCGGCUCACUGGCCCGGGUACUGACGCUGAGGUGCGAAAGCGUGGGGGAGCAACAGG